rnacentral:rRNA from 1 species
GCUUGGGGCCAUUGCCUAUAAUGCAGUCGAACGCGUUGGCCCAAUUGAUUGAUGGUGCUUGCACCUGAUUGAUUUUGGUCGCCAACGAGUGGCGGACGGGUGAAUGCCUUGGUACUAGACUGCCCAGAAGCGGGGGACAACAUUUGGAAACAGAUGCUAAUACCGCAUAACAACGUUGUUCGCAUGAACAACGCUUAAAAGAUGGCUUCUCGCUAUCACUUCUGGAUGGACCUGCGGUGCAUUAGCUUGUUGGUGGGGUAAUGGCCUACCAAGGCGAUGAUGCAUAGCCGAGUUGAGAGACUGAUCGGCCACAAUGGGACUGAGACACGGCCCAUACUCCUACGGGAGGCAGCAGUAGGGAAUCUUCCACAAUGGGCGCAAGCCUGAUGGAGCAACACCGCGUGAGUGAAGAAGGGUUUCGGCUCGUAAAGCUCUGUUGUUAAAGAAGAACACGUAUGAGAGCAACUGUUCGUACGCUC